rnacentral:rRNA from 1 species
AUACGUAGGUGGCAAGCGUUAUCCGGAAUUAUUGGGCGUAAAGAGGGAGCAGGCGGCAGCAAGGGUCUGUGGUGAAAGCCUGAAGCUUAACUUCAGUAAGCCAUAGAAACCAGGCAGCUAGAGUGCAGGAGAGGAUCGUGGAAUUCCAUGUGUAGCGGUGAAAUGCGUAGAUAUAUGGAGGAACACCAGUGGCGAAGGCGACGAUCUGGCCUGCAACUGACGCUCAGUCCCGAAAGCGUGGGGAGCAAAUAGGUUUAGAUACCCUAGUAGUCCACGCCGUAAACGAUGAGUACUAAGUGUUGGAUGUCAAAGUUCAGUGCUGCAGUUAACGCAAUAAGUACUCCGCCUGAGUAGUACGUUCGCAAGAAUGAAACUCAAAGGAAUUGACGGGG